UGGAUGAAGCAUUUAUAAAUUUUGUAUUUGAUUUUUGUGUUCAUGUGUAAAAUACUACUUGCUGUAAUAAACAUUAAGAAUAGUGUUCUGGUGGGAUGGGACAGGUGAAUGAGUGAGUGUAUGUGUGAUUCAGAUAGGCUGGGGGAAAAAGGGGGGCACUGAAGAUUGAGUAUCUCUGCUGAUUUUGGAGUGCAUCUGAGGCCAGUCGUGGAAUCUAGGUGCUUUCACUUUUUGGCUGAUGAUUGGAGCCUCGCAGCAGCUCCUGCAAUCUCUAACAACUGCAUUUUUGCAAUGUUCCUGCAAUCUGAUCCAA